rnacentral:rRNA from 1 species
UACUGAGGGGGCUAGCGUUGUUCGGAAUUACUGGGCGUAAAGCGCACGUAGGCGGCUUUGUAAGUUAGAGGUGAAAGCCCGGGGCUCAACUCCGGAAUUGCCUUUAAGACUGCAUCGCUCGAAUUGUGGAGAGGUAAGUGGAAUUCCGAGUGUAGAGGUGAAAUUCGUAGAUAUUCGGAAGAACACCAGUGGCGAAGGCGACUUACUGGACACAUAUUGACGCUGAGGUGCGAAAGCGUGGGGAGCAAACAGG